AAAAAAAAAUAGGAAAAGCAAGUGGAAGCCCCGUUGAACUCAUCCCCAUUUCUUCAUGAGGGCAAGGGGCCCAGGGCGGGCUCCCCUGCGAGGCUAGAGAUGCAUCUGCUGGGCCUUUCCACCCACCCCAGAGAAUCUCCUGGCUACCUGGCAACUUCACUUCCUCAAAACCUCCACAGUCCACCCUGCUCAUUUUAAAGGCCUCAUCAUGUGAAGAAAGCUCUUUUGGGUCCCAAAGGAGCACUGCUUUCUUUUUCUUCUGAGAAACACCUGCCACAUGGGAAACCUCAGGUGACACCUCAGGCCUGUAAGGAGGCAGCCCCCCUGGCAGCCAGGGGCACAGGAGCAUUUUAGGAGAAUUUCUCUGCAGCAGGAGGGGAACGAACAGGAUCAUGUUCUAAAGAUGAGAAGCCACGCUAUUACCAGCAGGUUGGAAGAUGAAUAAAGGCACCGUCGAGGCCUCUGAUGGACUAAACCUGCAUGUUCAGCACCCAAAUACAAAGUAAGGAAAAGGAAGCAUAUUCCACUAAGUUCUUGCAUGUUUCACUUUAUUUUAUUUUACAUACAAUGCUCCUACAAAACAUCAGUGUAAUUUAUUUUUGUGUUAAUUUAAUAACAUUUUUAAACCUAAUAUUUUAAUUACAAAAGACAUAGAUGUAGAAACACUGAUAAACAUAAUAAUAAUUUUAAAAAUCCAUUUGCCAUCUUUCCAUCCAAAAACAUUUACCUUGACUACUUAUUAGUACAUCUCCCCAGAUAACUUUCUAUAUAUUAUGCGCACGCAUAAAAUGGAAGCAAAUCCUUGAAUAACAGCUUUUAUAUUGUGUACCUUAAAUAUAUGUAUAUUGCACUGUGUGAUUCUAUGUUUGGGCUCUCUGUUCUGUUCCAUUGAUCUGUUCAUCUAUUAUUUUGCCAGUACCACAGUCUUCAUUACUGUAGCUUUAUAAUAAGUCUUGAAGUCAAACAGAGCAAGUCUUCUGACUUUGUUCUUCUUCAACACUCUUUUGGCAAGCUGGGUGUUUUGUCUCUCCAUAUAAUAGAAUCCAUUUGUUGAUGUCUAAAAAUUAACUUGCUGGCAUUUUGACUGGGAACAUAUUGAAUCUAUAGAUCAAGUUGAGAACAGCUGACAUCUUAACAACACUGAGUCUUCUUACCCACACAUGUGGAAUAUUUCUCCACUUAUUUACAUCUUCUUUGAUGUGUUUUAUCUGAGUUUCCUACUUUUAGCUCUUGUACAUAUUUUCAUCAGAUUUACACUUAAGUAUCAUUUUUGGGUGCUAAUAUAAGUGAUGUGUUUCUAAUUUUAAAUUUUAAUUGUUCAUUACUGGUAUAUGGCAAGCAAUUGACUUUUGUAUACUUCCUUUGUACCUUACAACCUCGGUACAAUCACUUAUUCAUUCCAGCUUUCUGUCAUUGAGUUUUUUUUUAACAGAGAUAAUCAUGUCAUCUAUGAACAAAGAGAGUCUUAUUUGUUCCUUUCCAAUCUGUAUAAUUUUUAUUUUUUGCUAAUUUUAUUAGCUAGAACUUUCAUUUUGAUGUUAAAUAGAAAUUUCGAGAGUAGAUAUCCUUGCCUUAUUUCUGAUCUUAGCACGAAAGCAUUCAAUUUUUCAUUAUUUAUUAAGAGGAGAGCUGUAGGUUUUAAUAGAUGUUCUAUGUCAGGUUGAGAAAGUUCUUCUUUAUAGCUAGUUUGCUGAGGUGUUUUAUCAUGAAUGGGUAUUGGAUUUUAUCAAAUUCUUUCACAUAUGAUUGUAUGAUUUUUCUUCUUUAGACUGUGGAAGUGGUAGAUUAUGUUAAUUGCUUUUUGAAUGUUGAGCCAACCUUUCAUACCUGAGACAAAUCUUAUUUGUUUAUUUGAAAUGAUAAUGACUGAGAAUUUUUCAAAAUUAAUGACUGACACUGGCAGGGCACAGUGGUUCAUGCCUGUAGUCCCAGCGCUUUGGGAGGUCGAGGUGGGAUGUUUCAGGCCAAGAGUUCAAGACCAGCCUGGGCAACAUAGCAAGACCUCAUCUCAAUAAGAAAUAAAACAAAAAGGCCAGGCGCGAUGGCUCACGCCUGUAAUCCCAGCACUUUGGGAGGCCGAGGUGGGUGGAUCAUGAGGUCAUGAGAUCGAGACCAUCCUGGCCAACAUGGUGAAACCCCGUCUCUACUAAAAAUACAAAAAUUAGCUGGGCAUGAUGGUGCGUGCCUGUAGUCCCAGCUACUUGGGAGGCUGAGGCAGGAGAAUCACUUGAACCCGGG
rnacentral:lncRNA from 10 species